rnacentral:miRNA from 1 species
UUGAGUGACCAGCUGUCCUGGUUUGCCUGGGGCUGAGGAUUUCCAGGACAAAGAACUUUCAGUGCCCAAGCUGCACAAUC